CUUCCAUAUAGGACAUACUUGCUUUUAAAAAUCUAAUUAAAACUUUCUUUUUGGUCCUUAGGUAGAAAGAUGGCUCUGCUGAGAUGAGCUCUUAAUUAAUGCACUGAGAGCUUAUGAGUCCCACCUCUCAACAGGAAUGAUUGACGUCCAAGGAUACAUAAAUUACACUAAUUGAGCCCUGCCUCUAUGUAGGCUCUCCACAGCCAACUCAUCAGAGAAGCUAGGGCUGUACCGUAACCAACUUCUUUGCUUGGCAACUCUAAUGAGCAACCUGCCACCAAAUUCAGAGAGAAUACUCCUUUUGGACACACUCGUGGCCGUGGAGCUGAGUUGACUGCACAUUCCAGGGUGAUCUGUCACGUAUCAGCAUCUGCAAGCAUGCACAUACUGAAGUGAAGAAAAAGUA
rnacentral:lncRNA from 1 species